rnacentral:rRNA from 1 species
GGAUCAUUAAAGAGUUCUAUAACUCCCAAACCCAUGUGAACAUACCUAACGUUGCCUCGGCAGGUCGCACCUACCUUGUAGCACCCUACCCUGUAGGGCCUACCCGGGAGGUGCGGGUAAGCCUGCCGGCGGCCCACCAAACUCUGUUUGAUAUUGAAUUCUGAACCUAUAACUAAAUAAGUUAAAACUUUCAACAACGGAUCUCUUGGUUCUGGCAUCGAUGAAGAACGCAGCGAAAUGCGAUAAGUAAUGUGAAUUGCAGAAUUCAGUGAAUCAUCGAAUCUUUGAACGCAUAUUGCGCCCAUUAGUAUUCUAGUGGGCAGGACCGUUCGAGCGUCAUUUCAACCCUUAAGCCUUCGUUGCUUAGUGUUGGGAGCCUACGGCAACGUAGCUCCUCAAAGUUAGUGGCGGAGUUAGUUCACACUCUAGACGUAGUAAUUUUUUAUCUCGCCUAUUAGUUGGACUAAUCCCCUGCCGUAAAACCCCCAAUUUAUCAAGGUUGACCUCGAAUCGGUUCAGACAAACUCGCUAAAUUGAAGCAUCUUAGUCAGCGAAGGAAAAGAAACCAACAGGGAUUGCCCUAGUAACGGCGAGUGAAGCGGCAACA